GAAACACAACUGACUGGAAAAUAAGAAACGUUGUGUAUGUGCCUGAACAGUGCUGAAAAGAAGAAGUAGCAGGAGUUCCAAAUGGAGUUUUUACGUCAGUAUUUCUGGACAGUAUUACUGCUGGCCAUCAUUCUGGUAUCUCUGGUGAUAGUAAUGAUUUUCAUAAUCAUCAAUGUUUGCAUCAGUAAAAGAGCUGCUAGGUACAGUACACAAACAAAACCAAAUCAUGACAGUGACAGAAAUAUAAAAAACCAGAACAACCAAGUUCAUCAUAAAGACUUUGAGAUAGAGAAACCACCUUUACCUCCCAGAGAUCAGUUCAAAUCCAUGGAAUCUGGUGAGUUUUGUUUUUAUAUGUACUCAUCUCAGAAUUAUCUUUAAGCAGCUAUAAAUAUUUCAAAUUAGUGCUGUCAAACAAUUAAUCGUGAUUAAUCGCAUUCAAAAUAACAGUUUUUGUUUGCAUAAUAUAUGUGUACUGUGAAUAUUUAUUAUAUUACAAUAAAUUGCUGUAUUUAUAUAUAUAUAUAUAUGAUCAGUGACUCGGGUAGUGACAAUUUCACGUCACGUUUUGGUAACGGUACGAUUCACUUGGAACCUCAAACGAGGUGGUACUAAAAAAAGUACCAGGUACUGUACCCAGUGGAAAACCCCCCAAAAUUAACCAUACUGUGCCGUACCAUGCAGUGAAAAAGCGCCAUAAAAGAGACCUUUUCAGAACCUAUUGUUUCAUAUAGGCCAGGGAUCCUCACAUCUGGCUCACGAGAUCCACUUUCCUGCAGACUUUAGUUCUAACCUUAAUCAAACAUACCUGAACAUGUCUUCAGGAUCAUUAGAAAAUCACAGAUGGGUUUGAUCAAAGUUGGAGCUAAACUCUGCAGUAAAGUGGUUCUCACAGCCAUAUUUGAGGUGUAACAGACAUGAGCCUGUUAAUUAGAAUAUUGUGGGCAGUUUUCUUCCUGUUUUCUUACCACUAUUGGUGCUAGGGUGUUUUAGGUUUCCUUAAGGCAGGGGUCUCCAACCCUGCUCCUGGAGAGCUACCAUCCUGCAGACUUCAGUUCCAACCCUGCUCCAACACACCUGUCUGUAUUAUCAAGUAGCCCUGAACACUUUGAUUAGCUGCUUCAGGUGUGUUUGAUUGGGGUUGGAGCUGAAAUCUGCAGGACAGUAGCUCUCCAGGAGCAGGGUUGGAGACUCCUGCCUUAAGUAAAGCCAGCUGGGUAGAGGGAGUUAGCAAUAGAGACAGAGUGACACGCGUCAUAAUCUGAAAACCACGCCCACCGGGGGGGAAACAAGUCCAAUGCUCUCCAUUGACUUUCUAUUGCGGGAAGCUGCCUCCUUGUCAUUUUUGUGCGUGUCUGUUGCAGUUAUGUUAGUUGCUAGACUCACUUUAUGUGGCUCUACUGUUGAAAAGUUAUACUGUGAGAUUUGG
rnacentral:lncRNA from 1 species